AUGAACGCUAGCUACAGGCUUAACACAUGCAAGUCGAGGGGCAGCAUUGGGAUAGCUUGCUAUCCAGAUGGCGACCGGCGCACGGGUGAGUAACGCGUAUCCAACCUUCCCUAUAGUAGAGAAUAGCCCGGCGAAAGUCGGAUUAAUGCUCUAUGUUGUGUUUUGAGGACAUCUGACGAACACCAAAGGUUCACCGCUAUAGGAUGGGGAUGCGUCUGAUUAGCUUGUUGGCGGGGUAACGGCCCACCAAGGCGACGAUCAGUAGGGGUUCUGAGAGGAAGGUCCCCCACAUUGAUACUGAGACACGGACCAAACUCCUACGGGAGGCAGCAGUGAGGAAUAUUGGUCAAUGGGCGAGAGCCUGAACCAGCCAAGUAGCGUGCAGGAACCGACUGCCCUAUGGGUUGUAAACUGCUUUUAUCAGGGAAUAAAGUGCGGCACGUGUGCCGUUUUGUAUGUACCUGAUGAAUAAGGACCGGCUAAUUCCGUGCCAGCCGCUGC
rnacentral:rRNA from 1 species